UACAGAGAGUGCCCCGCUAUUGCGCUAUUGCCGCGUCUCCAGGGCGAUUCCAUGGCAUCCCUCCAUUUUGAAAUGCACGGACUCUGGAAUCCAGCAAUUUCACUCACAGGGUUUGCGGCCCCAAGAAUAAUCUCUAGGUAUAAGGAGGCUCAGGGUAUGGGGUUGGGGAUUUAGCUCAGUGGUAAAGCGCUUACCUAGGAAGCGCAAGGCCCUGGGUUCGGUCCCCAGCUCCGGAAAAAAAAAAAAAAGAACCAAAAAAAAAAAAAAAAAAAAAAAAAAAAAAGGAGGCUCAGGGUACACGAAUAUUCAAAGGGUUGUUGUUUGUGGUGGGAAAAUCCAGACCGAAACCCAGGCGUGGUGGUACAGGCCUAAAAUCUCAGUACCUAGGAAGCUUUAGCCUAGGAUAUAUUAGCAGUUCCAGGACCACCUAAGCUACAAAGUGAGAGAGGAAAAAGAAAAGAAA
rnacentral:lncRNA from 1 species